rnacentral:lncRNA from 1 species
UUAGGAUUUACUUGGGAUUUGGUUUAGGACUCAAGAUUUGGUUUAGAUUUAGGAUUUGAUUUAAGAUUAUGAUUUGAUUAGGAUUUGAUUAAGAUUUGGUUUAAAUUUAGGAUUUGAUUUAGGAUUAGGGUUUUAUUAGGGUUUGAUUAGGGUUUGAUUUAGAAUUUAUUUAAGAUUUGAUUUAGAAUUUAGUGUAGAGUUUAAGGUUUUGUUUAGGAUUUGGUUAGGGUUUAGGAUUUGAUUUAAGGUUUAUGGUUUGGUUUAGGGUUUAGGAUUUGAUUAGGAUUUGGUUUAGGAUUUAGGAUUUGAUUUAGGAUUUAGGAUUUUAUUAGGAUUUAUUUAAGGUUUAAGAUUUAGUUAGUUUUUGGCCUAAAGUUUGAAUGAAGUCGAAUAGGAUUUUAACUAGGAUUAAAUUAAGAUUGAAUUGAGAUAUAUUUGAGAUAUAUUUGUGAUCAUUCUAAU